rnacentral:lncRNA from 1 species
UAGCCUCUUGAAGGGAGGUAGCGAGUGAUCCAUGAAGAAAGAGUUGAAACUGGAUCACUAACCCAAUUAAUCUGCCAUCAGAAAGCAAACUCAACUUAGAUAUUACCAAUGGAUUCAGCAAGAUGCCAACUGAGAGACUGCUAUUAGCCAGAAACAAACCUUUCCUAAUCAACUUCUCCUUCUACCAUGUUUGUAUUGUUUUGAAGUCGCUUUCCUGACUUCACAGUUGCUAGGCUUACUGCUUGAGCAGUGGCACACAGUACUGUACCUCAUGUAGCCUCAACCAGCUCUUCCUUUUAUGCGAACCCCCUCUCCCUCUUUUCCCUUCAAGAGAAUUGCACAAGCUUCCCAGCAUCCGUAUCUAAUAAGCAAGCACAAUGGAACGUAUCAUUCCAUUCAUCUACAGAGCUAUAACUCAGCAUGCAAGUGGAGGGGAAGAUUCUUUACAAGGUUCAUGGUUUGAUGAAUCACCUUCAGCUUAUUACAUGCGACUGCUCAGUGAUUCCAGCGGACUCCGGUCAUCUUCGGGUAUCAAAGGCUUCUCGACGUCACCACCAGCACCUGCUCCAGCUGCAACAAAGUUAGUCUGGCGAACCACCUGGCAUCAGCUCGUCCGAAGAUCACAAAGGUGAGCAAGGCCAACCUGGUUGUCUUGGUGCAACUGGAAGAGUCAAGAACAUGCAACUUCUUUCUUGAUGCAGGAACGUAAAAGAAUGUUAAAACAUAGUUGGAUGUCAUGACAGUAGAAAUAUAAGUUCGUAGUUACUGAUGCAACAGAAGAAGUUUAAUCCUGUGAUGCUAUCUUCAUGUACCAAAUUGUCAGGAAUAAUUAGUUUUUUCUACUAUAGCAGAUUUCAGCAAAGAGUGUACUCUAUACCAUCAUCAAAGAGUUCUCAGUAAUAUUAUCUCAUUCUCAAUCAGUAAGGAAUGAAAUCUAACAAAUACAAAAGAAAUCACGAUACAGGAUUAUUAGAUGGUGGCACAGAACUCACAAAAAUAAAGGGAAUGCAAAAUGCUGGUACAAAUGUUCUUUCCCCAUGGAAUAAGAAAUUUUGUUCUCCUGGAAGUUGCAUGUGCAAGAUGAUAAAAGGAAUCAUUCAAGGAUACGAUGAAAACAUAAAAAGAGCAAUUUUCAGAUGGCUCCAAAUCAACAAAAAGAUGAACAUAUAAUGGAUUACUUUCCACCUAUCUACUAAAAAAUGUGGACCCAUGAAUUAGGAGAAAAACAACCUUAAUUUUAACAUCCAUCUUCUUAUAAUGUGUCUCAACUCACUGACAAGUUUCUCAACAUGCUCAGGUACAGACAAAUGAUACUGAAGAAGAAAGGAAGCUGUGAUCAAUCCAGGCAGGGAGUGUUGAUCAUCAUCAAAGCACAGUAACAGGAACCUGUAGAAAGGAGGAACAAUAGGUCUAGGAACCAUUGUGUUGGUUCAUCAUGCUGCAAGUGGUCAACUGGAAAGUUCAAAAGAAAAAUGGAAGAGGGUGUAUAUAAAGAAACUGCAGUGUCAUAUAACAGAAUACAACAAAUUAGAACAACAGCUGAAAUACUGUAUAAAAAUUCAAAAAGGCUUGAAUUUUAUUGGCUUGAAGAACAAUCAAAUCAUCUUAACUACUUAAGGAACACAUUACAACUCAUUCACAUUCCCUCAGCCCCCACAAAAGGAUUAGAAAAGGGGAGGAAAGCUACUCUAGUGACUGAUUUAGUUUUACAGAAACUAGUGUUACAAUGAAGGAUGUACAAGUAUGGUCAAACAGAUGCCAGGAUCCAAAACAUUAGCAGCGAAGUUUUGGCGGGUAACAAACAUGUGAUAAAAGCCAUUGCAGUGGAGAUUUGGUAUCUGCCACAUGAAAACUCAUGAUACUUCGAGCAAAAAUUCACAUCCUUCACAAAUAAAACAGUCACACCUGCUGAAGAGCAUGCCGCCGCAAGUGAGAGAGUCGCUGUUACCUGCAUCAGGUGAAACAGCUUGUUUGAAUUUACAGGACAGGAAUUCAAUUUUGUGCACUCUGCAAAUGCCUCCAAUAGAAAGGCUGAGAAAUCAGAGACUUUAUAUUUGGCAACAUCUACACCAGACAGAAAAGUUUAGGAGAGUUGAAAGCAAGAUGCAGCAGAUACAUUCUACAACUAAUGAGUGUCACACAUGGUGAAGGCAUUCAGACCUUGAAUAGGUGACUUUCAGCUCAACUCAACCAUCUUUGGCACCUACAUAAGGAUUUUUCUCUAGCUUGAAAUCCUGAAUGACUUGGGAUACAACCUCAAAAACUAAAUUCAGCAAUCAAAACAAACGAAAACAUAUUGAUUUACCCCCAGUGAAAAAUUUGUAAGACAAUCCUUUGAUUUUCAUGAUUCAUUUCAAGGAAUUUUCCUGGGUAUUAAUGUGUUUAACAUCAAUGAUCAAACAAGUUCUGAUCUCCAGUCUUGUGCAAAUUGCUGUGAAAAGAAAAAAAAAUCUAGCAAAAACUAAGAAAAUUUUGAAAUAAAAAUUAUAAAGAUUUCAGGUUCUAUGUUAGUCGGAUAGCCAUAUGCAUUUACUUCAUAUCAAACUAUUAAUGAACUUUAGUGGAUUACUGUGCAAUCAAUUAUAUAUCUCGGUUGAGAAAAUAUGAUAAGAUGUACUCUUGUUUAAUUGGUCAUUUUUUUUAAUUUUGAAAUAUUGGACAGCUAAAGUUACUAAGAAAUCAGUUUGAAUGCCUAGGUGAUGCCGAGCCAUUUAAGGACCUUGCUACUUAUGGACCACCUGGCCACUUUCACAACCUUGCUUGCAUGAACUGACAAUUUCCAACUCAGCAUGCAUAGAAGGGUAAGUUUUUCCAUAUAACCACGAGUCAAUAAUGAUACAAGCUGUGGUUCCUGAACAUUUGGGUUCCAAAAUUUUGACCCCUCUUCAUCAUGAAGUUGUCUUAAUGGCAAUAUUGCUACUUCUCUUUUUGUUGUUUCUAACAAUUAUUUUUGGUCUUCCUUUAUAUCUCCUCGAACCAUUAAUCUAUUUUAAGCCAUCUCAUGUCACCAGUGAGUUUUACAUACUUACAUAACCAUGUUAACCAUGCUGACCCAUGCUCUACUAGAUCAAGCAAGCCUACACACAACUAAAACAUCCGCUUUGCUUUGUGCUGAAACUGUAAGAUGUUUUGGAUUCUGUUCAAACUGAUUCAAAAUGUAGGCCAACUAGAAGAGUUUGUAGCCAAUACUUGAUCUACAAGGCUAAAUUUAUUGGAUAGUUGAUAUAAUGGUGCUAAUUUAUAAAAUACAAAUAGCUGAAUUACUAAAAAUCCUCAAAUAAAUUAGUUAAGAAGUUUUACUUCAGACAUACAGAACCAAACAAAUCCAAAGCAAAAGACAAUGUUGUGACAUGCAUUUGUAGAUCUUAAUCCUACCAACUGAUACUCUAAAAUGAUGUUCAAGAUUGUUAUUUGACAACUUUUUAGUGGCAAAAAGGUAGCAAUCUUGACAGUUUUAUCAUGGUCUACUACAAAAUGAUGAAAUAGUCGAGCUACCAUGUGUUUAAUGUUUUUUUUAGUUCUAUAGCUUAAACAAUUACUUGAACUCCCAGUAUGUUAUGUGAUAAUUAUUUUCAUAAUCAUCAGAAAAGAUAUAAGUAACUAAUUUGGUAGAAUAAAUAUGUAAAUGGGAAAUGACCUAUUAGUAACUUAACAAGAGCAAUGAUACAAGACUCAUGUUUUAAUCCAAUUAGCUGUUGAAUUUUAUAAAAGUUACAUCAGCACAUUUACCUAGAAACAAGAUAAAUGGAAGCCAUUUAACUAGAAGUGAAGAAUAACCAAAAUCCUUAAAAUUAAGUGGUAUUCUAGUAGUCAGAAAGAUUACAGUCGUGUCCAAAUUAUUUCAAACCAAUAAAUAUACGUAAUUUCAGCAUAAGAAAUAUCAAAUCGAUAUGCAAUGCAGAUAAGCCAUAGACGGUAGUAAAUAAGAGCUAAGAUAAAAAGUAGAAGUGAAAAAAAAAAAAGUGAAACUAACGAUCUACCAGAGAAUGAGUUUCAGCAGAGGCAAAAUGGCAUGGAGAUCUAUGGAAGAAAAAAAAAAGAAAUUCUGUAAUCUACAGUAACAUGGUACUUGAAUUCUGUUGCCAUUAUCGUUGACCUAUAGAACCAUAGCUUCAAGGAUGAAGGUACGACUACAGAACCAGAGGAAAGUCAUCCAGAUGCAUAUAGGUGAUGACAAAUUUCGUAAAAAUACUUACCCAAUCACCAACCACGAACACGCUUACUAGCAAAGAUUAUGCAGAUCUAUAUUAAACUUCAGAUCAUAAAUAUCAAGACAUAAGAGCCCAAAGCUCCACAAGGUUUGUAGCCCCAUAGAAGCAAUCAAGUAGCUAGCAUAGAUUAAUCAUAGGCUAUUAACUUCAAUCACUCGAGAAAAACACUAGGAACCAGAACACAAGCAUAGGUUUGAUAAGAUCAAUCAAUUAAGCCACCAAGAACUCGCCAAGUCAACCAAAUCGCACAUUAAAUGACAAGUACCCGCUCAGAAAAGCAAGGGAUUACCAGAAAUCGGUGUAGUCGGAGAAUCCAAAAGCGGAGAGCAUCACUCCGAUCGAAGCACCGGCAAGUGUACACUGCCCGGUCCUCAGUAGCUGCUCCAAAGGUUCCCUUCAAUGUCCCCUUGCCAUAACCCUAAUUCCACGUCCACCCACAAUUCUAAUAGCCGAUUACAAGCUCAACCCCUAAAUCAUCCAUUGUAGUUCGAACCGCGAGCUAUCGAUCGCCAGGGGCGGAGCGCCAGAUUAACGAAACCACGACGCAUUGAUCGAGCAAAGGAGCGAUGAAUUGCAAGGCGAGACGAAGCAGGCGGGACUGGGUUGGUAACGUAUCGCCACCUGUCUCUUUGUUCAGUCCCACUGGUCUCAUCUGUCUACGCAUUGCCUUUAUUAUUUCUUAAAUAACUAAUAAUCGUAAUAAUAAAUUAUUAAAUGAAAUUUUCAUUUUUCUUC